GGAUCAUAUAAUAGGACUCGGGAGUUGGGCCCCGUCCAUUAGUUCUCUCGAGUCCCACUUUAAGCCCAGUUGUACUUUCAAUUGCCACGUACGAAGUGCGUGAACUCCAAACGCGGAGCCCAACUCGACAUGCUGCCACGUGGGCGGUCGUGAUGGGAUUUCUCGGCGCCUCGUCUCACGCGUCAAGACCGUACGUAACUUUCACGUCCAUUCCACAUAGACCUUUCCCUCUCUCCCUAUCUAAAUACACGACUCUUCUUCUUCUCCUUCUUCCCCCUCUCUCUCCUGUCCAAAAUCCGUCCGCCAUUUUCACUAUCGCGAAGCUAGGCGAUGGCAGAGUAUUUCUUCUCCUAGGGCUCGRUCCCAACUGUUCGUUUUCUUCUUGUUCCGGUGCUGCAACUUUUGAUCAGAAUGUAUUUUUUGUAGAGAGAUGCUGCUCUGGCUCCGCCGUGGAAUCCAGUCUAAGGUUUCUUGGUUUUACUUUUGCAUUUUACCUUAUUUGCGCUAGAUCCUAGGGCUGGUUGAUUCGAGAUUUUUAUCUCAAUUUUAUCGUUUCUGUGUUYUGUAACUUCACGGUUCACUAGGAUUGUUUUGUUUGAAGUUUGCUCCACCAUGUUGUGUUUUUGYUGAAUAAUUUGUGUUGUGAGCUACGGAAAUCGAUGAGAGAUUGGCGAGGGGGAGAGUAUUUGUGUUCUUGUUUCGUUUGAAAUUUACUGACAGCCGCACACCUCAAUUGAUUUGGAUCAAUUGUAUUUCCAUAGCAUAGCCCAAGUUUCCAGAGAAGAUAACAAGAUGAUGUGAAUGCGGAGAAGACUGGCUUGCUGCUCAAGGGAUCGAGCGGUCAGCCUUAACAUGGACGCCCAAGAUAGUAAGCCUGAACUUUCCUUUACUAUUUUAAGCACCAGUAGUAUUUGCCUAUCUUUUUCGAAACGCACUCAAUUAUUAUUAUUAUUUUUGGCUUAUACUUGAUUUUAAGAUAAUAUUUAAAAGUUUCUGAUGUAGCUUUAUGCUGAAUUAAUAUAAAUUUGACGUUAUCAAUUCAAAAAGUUGCUACUAUAGAUUUUGAAUUUGAAAAAAUUAGGAAUAACUCCACAUGGGGCAUUUUUUAUUCAUGCAUGGUUUGACUAGCCAUAUCAGUUUGAAAUACACUCACCACAUCCACAUGCUACGAAUGAUUUUUUUCUUCCUUUGUAUUUGUUUAUUGCUAAGAAAGGUUAUGGGUGAAUUUUGAAAAGAAAGGGGGCGAUGAUCAUGAUAGUGGGCCAGGUAGAGAGUAAAAAGCAUGUCUGUUAGGGUUUGGUAAACAGAAUAAGGGGGACUCGAGGGAAACGAUAGGUCCAGAACGUCAGAUCUUGUGAAAAGGAGUAGUAGGUGUAGAAGGCAGAUAUUACUACCAAGUGUUCCUUUGUGUCUUAUUAGCAUGACUAGACCCAUUGCUAGUUCCGUGCAAAUUAUGUUGCCUUCAGAACGCACUAUUUAUUGUACUGUUUGACGUCCAAACCGAAAUGGUGUUGGGUUUUUGGUGCUAUGCUAUACAUAGAAUGUUGGUGCUAUUUUUUA